UGUUAAUUACUCAGGUUAAGAUGUUUAUUUUGAGCCUAGCAUGUUGCAUGAUGAACUCAUGCAUUUUACUUAACGAAACUGAAGUAUGUAGGUAAAAUAUAGAGAGUUCUGUAAUCUUGUCAAUCUCAUUAGUUCUCAUAAUUGAAAAAUAUAAUAAAUAAUGUUAUCUUUAGUUAAAUGAGAAUAAAGCUAAAAAUAAUGUCUGAGUUUUUAAGUAGAAAUCUGAGGCAAAGGGGCCAGAGGAACAGUUAUAGGACAAUUGAUAUGUUUGUUCCUGGACAAGGUACUACAAUGAAGGAUAUUGAUAAUUUAUUUUACUUUAUGUUUUUAAAAUAUAUUUUAUUGAUUUUUUUACAGAGAGGAAGGGAGAGGGAUAGAGAGUUAGAAACAUUGAUGAGAGAGAAACAUCAAUCAGCUGCCUCCUGCACACUCCCCACUGGGGAUGUGCCCGCAACCAAGGUACAUGCCCUUGACCGGAAUCGAACCUGCGACCCUUGAGUCCACAGGCCAAUGCUCUAUCCAUUGAGCCACACUGGUUAGGGCUAUUUUACUUUAUUUUUAUCUAUUUUUUUUUUUAUUGAUUUCAGAGAGGAAGAGAGAGAGAGAGGGAGAGAGAGAAACAUCAUUGAUGAGAAUCACUGAUUGGUUGCCUCCUGCAUGCCCCCUACUAGGGAUCAAGCCCACACCCUGAGCAAGUGCCCUUGACCAGAAUCGAACCUGGGGCCCUUCAGUCCGCAGGCCAAUGCUCUAUCCACAGAGCCAAACCAGCUAGGACUUUUUUUUUUCUUCUUUAAAUAUGUUUUUAUUGAUUUUAGAGAGAGGGGAAGAGAAGAGAGAGAGAGAGAGAGAGAGAGAGAGAGAGAGAGAGAGAGAGAGAGAGAGAGAGAGAAGAAACACUAAUGUGAGAGAGAAACAUUGAUUGGUUGCCUCCUGUAUGCACUUUUGGGAUUGAACUCAAAACCUGGGCAUGUGCCCUGACCAGAAUUGAAGCAGUAACCUUUUAGAGCACUGGAUGAUGCUCAACCAAAUGAGCCACAUCGGCCAGGGUGAUAAUUUAUUUCUCUUUUUUAAUCCUCACCUGAGGACACACUUUUAUUGAAUUGUGAGAGAAAGAAACAUUGAUGUGAGAGUGAGACAUUGAUUGGCUGCCUCCAGCACUGCCCAGAUCGGGGAUCGAACCUGCAGCCUGGGUGUGUGCCCUGAUCAGGAAUCGAACCUGUGGCCUUUCUAUGUACGAGUCGGUGCCCCAACCAAGCCAUACUGCCAGGACAAUAAUUUAUUUUUAAUUUGCCUGUUGCAUUUAGCUUUUAUAUAAUAUACAGAACCUAGAUUAAUGUAGUCCUUAAAAUAGAAAAUUUCUGUCAUGUUGCUACUUUGUAAAGAUAAAAUUAAGGAAUUUGUUUUGUGCUUUAAAGAUAAAUAAGACAGGUCUUUUGGUUAAAAAAAGAACUUAUUCGAAAUAGACCAGCUAGAAAAAUAAUGUAUGUAAUUUUAAUCGGCCAGUUCUAUAUACCAAGUAUUUUUUAAUUGUAGUUAAGGUUUUGUUUUCAGUUGACUGAAACAUGAUCUGAUACUUACUGAUCAUUAGGUCCUAAGUAGUGUGGCAUUAGCAGGAAUUAUUUACUGAGCGUAGUUCCUCUUAAAGUAUACAUUCAUAUCCCCAUACAUUUUAUUUUCUGUGUAGAGUUAGUCCAUAUUGUCAUAACAUCUCCGAAUGGCUGUGUGCUCCACCAUGAAGUAAGCUUAUGUCCAUUCACCUGCCCAUCUCCUGUCUAGUUCUCUACCUUUCUCAUGUUACACACAGACCACACACCUCACACUUUGUACCUUGCACUUUUAAGGGCAGUCACAGAAAGAAAAAAUUGUUUGGUUGAGGAGUUAACCCUGAAAUUAGAUAAUCUUAGGCAGUAUUUGCCCAGGGAUCCAUUAAAAUUGAAGAUUGAGUGCCUGUAAUUAACUUUUCUUUGAGCUCUUAAGACAGUGGUUUUCAACCUGUGGGUCGCGACCCCUUUGGGGGUUGAAUGACCCUUUCACAGGGGUCGCCUAAGACCAUCGGAAAACACAUAUAUAAUUACAUAUUGUUUUUGUGAUUAAUCACUAUGCUUUAAUUAUGUUCAAUUUGUAACAAUGAAAAUACAUCCUGCGUAUCAGAUAUUUACAUUACAAUUCAUAACAGUAGCAAAAUUACAGUUAUGAAGUAGCAACGAAAAUAAUUUUAUGGUUGGGGGUCACCACAACAUGAGGGUCGUGGCAUUAGGAAGGUUGAGAACCACUGUCUUAAGAGCUCUUCAGUGUCUCUGUUGUUUUCAUUGUGGUAUGUCUUCCUUUAGGUUUGUCCCUUUGUUCUUAUUUUCUCAGGUUGUCUUCACUAGUGAGUAUAUGCUUAAGCAAAAAGUAUCCGUAAGCUAAAAGAACAUUGUGACUGAGUAAAAAAAUCUUUUAAUUUUCAAAUGUCCAACUUUUAGUUCUUCAGUUCAUAGAUUUUUUUUCCCCAUAGAUAUUUUAUAGUCAUUUGAAAUGUUGCAAGGAGAUACAUACUUCUAUUCAGCAUAACAGUAUUGUUUCUAAUAUGUGCUGCAAAGGAUGCCUUUGUGUUUUUAUUAAAUGAACCUGGUUAUAAUGUCAGAACAAAAGAGCUUUUUAAAAAAAAUAUAUAUAUAUAUAUAGAUCUAUCUAUCUAUCUAUCUAUCUAUCUAUCUAUCUAUCUAUCUAUCUAUCUUUAUUGAUUUCACAGAGGAAGGGAGAAGGAAAGAAAGAAACAUUAAUGAUGAGAGAGAAUCAUUGAUUGGCUGCCUCCUAGUGGUGAUGGAGCCUAUAACCCAGGCCUGUGCCCUUGACCGGAAUCGAACCCAGGACCCUUCAGUCUACAAUCCAGUGCUCUAUCCAAUGAGCUAAACCAGCUAGGGCCAAAAGAGCUUUUUUUUUUUUUUUUUUUAAAAAAAUAUGUUUUAUUAAUUUUUUACAGAGAGGAAGGGAAAGGGAUAGAGAGUUAGAAACAUCGAUCAGCUGCCUCCUGCACACCUCCCACUGGGGACGUGCCGGCAACCAAGGCAUAUGCCCUUGAUCAGAAUCGAACCUGGGACCCUUUAGUCCACAGACCGAUGCUCUAUCCACUGAGCCAAACUGGUCAGGGCCAAAAGAGCUUUUUUAAAAAGAAAAAAAACAACAACAAAAAAAACCCCCAAUCCUAUUUAAAUAUAUGUUCAGUUUCUUUUUUAUAUUUCCUUUUCACUUUGGAAGUAUCAGAAUAUAUGAUGUAUUUGAUAGAAAUUAAGGCACUUUAGAAUAGAUGAUGUUCCCUCAGUGAUUCACCUUGCUUUUUACUUAUUUGCACUUAUUUUUAUAUUGUCAUAUAAAAAUUUGACAAUUUGUUUUCAGUCCCCAAUGUUCCUCCACUCAUAUGUGACGCGAGGUUGGUCAAACCCUGUCCUGGAAAUUCCCUGCUCCCCAAGAACUCCACAUCCCCAAACAAUCAUAUUUCUUGUUUUUGCCUGCCCCCCUUAGAAAUUUCUGUACCCUCACUGCAGUUCAGUUAUGAAUGAUUAAUAGUCAUGGCCCUGCCAUUUUCUUCUUUAACCCAGAAACCUUUUCUUAAAUCUGCUAGGUUUACUGUAAGAAAAGGAAAGGAAGAAGGAAUGUUCAAUGCUUUCAACUCCUUUUCUGCAGUUAAAGAGGAAACUAAACAGAUGGCGGCUUUUCUUUGUUUGCACUGAAGUAUCCUGUACCUAUAAACUUUGAAAGACAAAUAGACAUAGCCUCAGAGAUAAUCCCAGCCAAUGUUCCCCUGCCUACUUAGCAUUGUGGCUUAGUGAUACAUUUCAAGACAUAUACAUUUAAAUUAAUCAUUUGAAUAUUUUUCAAGAACAGACAUUUGUAUAACAGUUGCAAUUCCUUAUUAUUAAUUAGAAAUAAACAUUAGCUAUAAUAUAUGACUUCCAGGGUCCUUGAAGUUAAACUAAACUAUGGCACCUGGAGAAAUCAAGUCAUUUCUUUGAAGCCAUAUUUUCUUGGAGAGCCCUAGGAUGUGAGUUGGUAAAUAUUAAGUAAUUGGAAUUUGAGAGCAUCUCUAAUAGCAAUCCAGUUUAUGUGUAGUUCCGUAUGAGAGAUUUGGGAACUCAAAAUGUGAUUUAAUGACUUUGGUAUUAGGCCCCCGCCCCCCCCCCCCCCCAUUUUUAAAGACAUAGUUAAUGUAUAAGGUAAAAUGACUGAACUUUGACUUUGGAAAUAAAGUCAACAUAUGGUAAAAUUUAAAACAUGUAGA